rnacentral:rRNA from 1 species
AGAACGAACGCUGGCGGCAUGCCUAACACAUGCAAGUCGAACGUGAUCCAUGACUUCGGUUGUGGUGAAAGUGGCAAACGGGUGAGUAACGCGUGGGAAUCUGCCCAGAGGUAGGGAAUAACCGCGGGAAACUGCGGCUAAUACCCUAUGUGCCCUACGGGGCAAAGAUUUAUCGCCUUUGGAGGAGCCCGCGUCGGAUUAGGUAGUUGGUAGGGUAACGGCCUACCAAGCCUACGAUCCGUAGCUGGUCUGAGAGGAUGAUCAGCCACACUGGGACUGAGAUACGGCCCAGACUCCUACGGGAGGCAGCAGUGGGGAAUAUUGGACAAUGGGGGCAACCCUGAUCCAGCAAUGCCGCGUGAGUGAUGAAGGCCUUCGGGUUGUAAAGCUCUUUCGGCGGGAAGAUGAUGACGGUACCGCAGAAGAGCCCGGCUAACUCGUGCCAGCAGCCGC